rnacentral:rRNA from 1 species
GCUGUGGGUAGGGGUGAAAGGCCAAUCAAACUGGGAAAUAGCUCGUACUCCCCGAAAUGCAUUUCGGUGCAGCGUCGGAGUGAGUUUUACAUAGGUAGAGCUACUGAUUGAAUGCGGGGGCUUCACCGCCUACCAAUUUCAGACAAACUCCGAAUGGUGUAAAACAUCUCCGGCAGUGAGGGCAUGGGUGCUAAGGUCCGUGCCCGAGAGGGAAACAACCCAGACUAUCAGCUAAGGUCCUUAAAUGUAUGCUAAGUUGCAAAAACGAAGUAGGACUGCACAGACAGCCAGGAAGUUGGCUUGGAAGCAGCCAUUCUUUUAAAGAGUGCGUAACAGCGCACUUGUCGAGCGGUUCGGCAUGGAGGAUAAGCGGGCAUAAGCAUACUACCGAAGCUAUAGCAAAGUAAUUUGGGUAGGGGAGCAUUGCGUAUGCGGCGAAGCGGACUUGUAAAGGUUCGUGGAGCGUACGGAAAAGCAAAUGUAGGAAUAAGUAACGAGAAAGCGGGCGAGAAACCCGCUCACCGAAAAACCAAGGGUUCCCCGGCUAUGUUAAUCAGCCGGGGGUCAGUCGGGACCUAAGGCUAACCCGAAGACAGGAGAAGCCGAUGGACAAACGUUUAAUAUUACGUUACUGGAAUAGAGUGCGACGGGGCGACCCGGUACUACCUCUCCGCGCGCAGACGGAAUAGCGCGUUAAAGGUCAAAGCGGGCCGUGCGGCAAAUCCCACGGCGGAAAGUGAUGACCGACAGUACGCGGCGGCUUCGGCCAAAGCGAUAGCGAGACGAAAAGCCGGCAAGAAAAACCUCUAAGCUACAGCUUUAUUCCACCCGUACCGUAAACCGACACAAGUGGGUGGGAAGAGAAUUCUAAGGGGCUCGAGAGAAUCAUGGCUAAGGAACUAGGCAAAAUAGACCUGUAACUUCGGGAAAAAGGUCACCGCAGCGAUGCGGUCUCAGGAAAAAGGUCCAGGCGACUGUUUAAAAAAAACACAGGACUUUGCUAAAUCGAAAGAUGAUGUAUAAGGUCUGACACCUGCCCGGUGAUGGAAGGUUAAGAGGAGAUGUAAAUCGCAAGAGGCAGCAUUGAAUUGAAGCCCCAGUAAACGGCGGCCGUAACUAUAACGGUCCUAAGGUAGCGAAAUUCCUUGUCAGGUAAGUUCUGACCCGCACGAAUGGCGUAACGAUUUGGGCACUGUCUCAACAGCCCACCCGGCGAAAUUGUUGUACUGGUGAAGAAGCCAGUUACCCGCAACUAGACGGAAAGACCCCAUGGAGCUUUACUGUAGCUUAAUACUGGAAAUCGGUAAAUCAUGUACAGGAUAGGUGGGAGACUUGGAAGCCAGGGCGUCAGCUUUGGUGGAGUCACCCUUGGGAUACCACCCUUGAUUUGCUGGUUUUCUAACCUGCGGCCGUGAAUCCGGUCGGGGGACACUGUUAGGUGGGCAGUUUGACUGGGGCGGUCGCCUCCUAAAAGGUAACGGAGGCGCUCAAAGGUUCGUUCAGCACGGACGGAAACCGUGCAGUGAGUGUAAACGCAUAAACGAGCCUAACUGCGAGACCGACGGGUCGAGCAGUAACGAAAGUUGGAGUUAGUGAUCCGGCGGUAUGCAAGUGGAAGUGCCGUCGCUCAACGGAUAAAAGCUACCCUGGGGAUAACAGGCUGAUCUCCCCCAAGCGUCCACAGCGACGGGGAGGUUUGGCACCUCGAUGUCGGCUCGUCACAUCCUGGGGCUGAAUUCGGUCCCAAGGGUUCGGCUGUUCGCCGAUUAAAGUGGCACGCGAGCUGGGUUCAGAACGUCGUGAGACAGUUCGGUCCCUAUCUGUUGCGGGCGUAAGAGAUUUGAAGGGAGCUGUCCUUAGUACGAGAGGACCGGGAUGGACUGACCUCUGGUGUACCGGUUGAACCGCCAGGUUCACGGCCGGGUAGCCAAGUCGGGAAGGGAUAAACGCUGAAGGCAUCUAAGCGUGAAGCCCCCCUCAAGAUGAGAUAUCCCAUUCGAAAGAAGUAAGACCCCUUGAAGACGACGAGGUAGAUAGGUCAGAGGUGGAAGUACAGUAAUGUAUGGAGCUGACUGAUACUAAUCGGUCGAGGGCAUGACCAA